GGAAGGCGACGAGAGGACGCCGGAGGCGUGGGCCUGCAGUGCGCAUGCGGAAGAGGAGCAGGGGCCGGGGCGAGCCUGCAGGAACGCAACACCCUUGGAGAACUCACCCAAAAAUAAGGAAACCGUUAUCAACCCACAGGAUAUUUUAGCCAACAACUGGACCUAUGGCAGGAGGAUACCUUCCUUGCCUCAGAGCCAUUCCUGCCACUGCUCUUUUGGCAUUUUAAAUUGACUGAUGGACCAUUUGAGGUUUGACAAAUGGAUUUCAUACAGCUUCCCUCAUCUCAGAUUUGGUGGAUGGUUGCAGAGAUCUACAAUAGAAGGGGCAUCUGGUGGCUGCCUAAGACAGACUCAGAGUUUCCCUUGAUCAUACCAGCUGGUGAGGACAAAAUGCAGAGAUUUGCAAGACUGCAAGGAAAGUGCUCUGGGCACUCACCAAGUAGAUUGGGUAAUCAGUGACUGACAAUGUCUUCCAACCUGACCUGACCCAGUUAGCAAAUCUGUCCCUGGCUGAGCCCUGUAGCAUUGUUUCAAAUCAGUCAUUUAUGCAAACUCCCACCCAAACUGGAAAAUCCUGCUUAGGACCAGAACAAUUGUUGUCACUGUCACUCCACACCUACCUGGAGGCUGUGAACCUUAAUUCACUAGGCCACUCCCAAACUUCAGGAAUGAGCAGAACUCUCCCUUACCAGACUCAGGCAGGCAAUCCUUACCAGAAGGAGGCCCUUUCUAGCCCCAGAGAGAAUUUAGGCCAGGCCUGAGUGGAAGGAACCUCCAGCCUGGAGUGUGGAGAACAACUGGCUAUGACAAAGACAGUCCUUGGGGAUUCCUCACCAGACAGGGGAGCCAGGGAUCCCCUCAAAGAUAGCAACAGAGAGAGGUCAGCACUCUUUGCAUCUUCCCCUCACCAGCCUCCCAAAGCCUGUGGGCACACACAGUCACACUGCUUGCUUCUUGUGUUCUGUCAACACUUCCAUGUACUUGCUCUACCGUAGAUCAAUAAGAACUGGAAAAUCAAUGCUAGGACAACUGGGCUACAGAAAAAAAUAUAUAUAUUCCUGAUUUCACAGGAAGAGGAGAAACACAGAAAUAAGCACCUGGAGGGCAGGGACUUCAGUUUGCUUCAUUUAUUGGAACAUAGACAUACUUCAUCUAGGAGAAGGUAUCAUGUGAUGCCUCUGAAAAGGCAAAUCCCAAAUUCUGUAUGAAAUCCUGUCAGUCAAGGGCAUGUCUAGAAAAAGUCUGCCUCUGUGAACAUCCUUCAUUCUGAGUUAGGGACAAAAGGGGCUAGGCAGGGCUAGGUAGCGGGCCAUGGAAGCAGGCUCACAAAAAUCUCCAAAAUGCUGAGGUGUAAGGAAAUCAGAGAUAAGGGAACUAGCCAGACCACCCUGCCCUAAGGUAACCCACAAAAUCAUCAUACUCUAAAAAGGAAGUAAGCCAUUAAUGAUGUUAUCACUAGUCCCUAUUCAAUGGUGAUAUCAAUGGAUAUGUUAAGGGGAUUUAGGUUCCCUGACUGGCUUCCAAUUGAAGAUCAACCCUCCAAGCCCUCAGUGGCAACCCUGUCAGGACCCCUCUCACUUCUGAGAGCUUUAUCUGUAUCUUUACUUAAUAAACUUCUAUU